rnacentral:tRNA from 1 species
GCGUCUAUGGUGUUAAUGGUAACAUAGGUGGCUUCCAACCAUAAGUUCUCGGUUCGAAUCCGAGUAGACGUA